rnacentral:rRNA from 1 species
AUUGAACGUUGGCGGCAGGCCUAACACAUGCAAGUCGAACGGUAACAGGAAGCAGCUUGCUGCUUCGCUGACGAGUGGCGGACGGGUGAGGAAUGUCUGGGAAACUGCCUGAUGGAGGGGGAUAACUACUGGAAACGGUAGCUAAUACCGCAUAACGUCGCAAGACCAAAGAGGGGGACCUUAGGGCCUCUUGCCAUCGGAUGUGCCCAGAUGGGAUUAGCUAGUAGGUGGGGUCACGGCUCACCUAGGCGACGAUCCCUAGCUGGUCUGAGAGGAUGACCAGGCACACUGGAACUGAGACACGGUCCAGACUCCUACGCGAGGCAGCAGUGGGGAAUAUUGCGCAAUGGGGGCAAGCCUGAUGCAGCCAAGCCGCGUGUAUGAAGAAGGACUUCGGGUUGUAAAAUACUUUCAGCGGGGAGGAAGGGAGUAACGUUAAUACCUUCGCUCAUUGACGUUACCCGCAGAAGAAGCACCGGCUAACUCCGUG